UCUGACUUGUUCAAGACUUCUUUUUUUCUUAUAUUGUUUUCAGGACUGUCACUCAAGUCUUAGGAUUUGACAACAUUAUUUCUGGCUGUUAGAUUGUACAACAUAUUUGUUAUGAAUUGUGACAUCCACAUAAUACUGGAUUCAGCCAGAGAAGGCGGGGAUCCGUGGAUGCCAGUGAGGGAAGCAGCUUGGCUCGGGCCGACCAUGGCGCUAGCGUUGCAACUCGCCGCCAUCCUCCUUCGUCUCCCAUCCACAGCUGGCUCCAACCCCUCCUCUGAUGUGGUGCUAUGAGAGCAAGAAAAAGAGCAGACAUGCUCUGUAUCUACAUCCAGCGUCCACACAGCCAGAUAAUGGAUGUAAUUGUGUGCAUGGAGCUCGCUGAUCUGUGGUUCUUGUGCAACAGAGACCCUUCAGUUAGGUUAUAAAAUCCUUAAUUAUUGGAGCCAUUCAUAUGCAUGUAUCAUGCAUGUAUCAACGAAUGAAGG